AUGGGGGCCCGCGAGGCGCGUCGCCCCCCGGCCGCGCGCGACCCCUGCCGCCUGCACCGCGCGCCGAGCGGCCCCGGCGGCCCCGGGACUGUCCCGGCCGCGCUCCGCUCCGACCCGGGGUGCGACUCCCCCGAGCACGGAAACAACAAGUCCGCGGCGAACUCGCCUUCCAGCUGCGGCCGCGCGGCGCGCUUGCAAAGUUUGCAGCGUCUGGAAGCCUCCGGUUUCCGGGGCCGAGCAGGGCAGGACCUUCCGGCUUCGGACGCGGCUCGGGGCGCCUCCUCGCACCGGCUCGGCAGCUCCGCCCCGCCCCGCCCCGCCCCGCCCGGCGAGCGGGGCCGUCCCUCCUCUGCGGACCCGGGUCGGGGGGGCGGGGUCGGGACCCGGGGCUGCGGGAAAGGCUUUCCGGGCGCCCACGCCGCGGAGGCAGAGACCAACGCGGGAGGUGCCCCACGCGGGCGCAGGCCGGGGGCGGGGCAGGUGACACCCGAGGCCCGCGCCACCGCCGCAGCCAGGACGAGCCCCGGGCCCCGCGGCCGCUGCGCCCCGAGGCCCGCGCACCUUCCGCGCACGCGCAGCGCCGCCGGGCCCGCGGCCGGGGGAGGGGCUCAGAGCCCGCGCCCCGCCCCCGCCCGCGGCUUUGCGCACGCGCGGCGACGCCUCGGCCCCGGCCUCGGCCUCGGCCCCGGCCCCCGCCCGGGCCCCGGGCCCGGGCGGGGGCGGGGGCGGCUCGUCCGCGGUCGCCGCGCCCCGGGCCGGGGGAGGGGGCACCGGGGCCCGCCCGCUCCCAGCGCCGCGCCCCCUGCGGACCGCCGCCGCCGCCGGGUCGCCCUACCUCCGCGCAGCCCGAGCCGCGGCCGCCCGCCUGCUCCGCCGCCCUUCCUGCUCCGCCGGGCCCGCGCGGCGACCGCCUGGCGCCUCCCCCGACGGCCCGGCCUCGGCGGCUCGCGCUCCGGUGCGGGGCUGGGGCGGGCAGGGGCGGGCAGGGGAGGGGGCGGCACGGAGCCUCGCCCCUCCCCCGCCCCCCCCGCCCCCGCCCUGCUCGCCGCCGCCUCCCGCGCAGCUCCCUGCCCGCCCCGCUCCCCCCGCGCGGCGUCCCCGCGGGCUUGGCGCUUUGGAGGUGCCCGGCCCGGGAGGCUGAGGCGCGCGUGGGCAUCGUGUCCUGCGGCCCGGUCCCCGCUCCGUCCCCGGGGUCCUACCCACUGUGUCCCGGGGGUCCUCCCUCCUCUGUACCCGGGGUCCUCCCCGCUCCGUCCUCGGGGGGGGUCCUCCCCGCUCCGUCCCCGGGGUCCUGCCCACUGUGUCCCGGGGGUCCUCCCUCCUCUGUACCCGGGGUCCUCCCCGCUCCGUCCUCGGGGGCUCCUCCCCGCUCCGUCCCCGGGGUCCUCCCCACUGUGUCCCGGGGGUCCUCCCUCCUCUGUACCCGGGGUCCUCCCAGCCCCGUCCUCGGGGGGGUCCUCCCCGCUCCGUCCUCGGGGGUCCUCCCUCCUCUGUACCCAAGAUCCUCCCAGCCCCGUCCUCGGGAGUCCUCCCUACGCUCUCCCUGGGGGUCCUCCCCGCUCAGUCCCUGGGGGCCCUCCCUGUUUUCACAGGGGGUUCCCCCGCUCCUCACCCCCUGCUGUGGGGCCCCAGCCCUGGCCCCUUCUGAUAACUACGGAAUGUUGA
rnacentral:lncRNA from 1 species